UGUCGGUCCCCUCGCAAUGAUUCGCCGUGAACCUGGUCAGGCCCGGAAGGGAGCAGCCACAGCGGUUACAUCGUGUGCCGGGGUGUGGCUGGCAGGG
rnacentral:SRP_RNA from 1 species